AUUUGCUGGAGAAGCCAUGAAGUCUUGGGAAAGGGAGAUUCGACAGAGCAUGUUACAGCCACAAUAGGAGAAAAAAACCUUCUCAGGUUUGAACCCUGCUGAGUUCACAGUUUUCAAUAAAUUGCUGACAAAUGCAAGGUGUUCAGACAAGUAGGUAGUGCUCCACAAAUAGUAGAUAUUAUUCUAGUCACCUAGAGAGAAUAAAUGUUCAGAAAAUGUCUACGUAUGUUUUGCUAUCAAAGAGCGAAUAAGAUAUUCAAUUUGUAUUUUUGCUUUAGAUAAAGCAUAAUGCCCUUAUUAUGCCUUCAAGUCUUCAUUUCCCCCACGAAGGGACGUUUUUCUGUGUUAUUUGACCAUAUGCCUUUUGCUACGCUGGGCAUUUGCCUUCUUUGACCUUUUCUGGACAUUCCCACUUUACCCGCCAGGGAUUGAGGAGAUUACAAAGGUCAUCUAAUCAUCUAGUCUCGUUUCCAAUUUGGUUAAGAUAAAAUAUUAUUUAAUUACUAGAAAAAUACUUUGUUAUUAAAAUCAAAGUGUCUUGUGCUGGUUUGCAAACAAAGUAAUUUCUACACGCUUAUAACACAAAGAGGAGACCAGAUGUGGUGAAGUAGAAGAGAGAGGACACUGGCUUUGGAGCCAGGGGACCCAGAGCGGCUCCCAGUAAUGUGAUAUUUUAUGUGUUUUCCAACCCCAUGCAGCAUCCAUUGCCUCACCUGUAAAAUAGGGGUUUUGACAAGGACCACAUCGAGUUAUUGUGAAGAGUAAAUAGAUGAUUAUAGAAAACAUGUCACACAGUGCUAGGCACAUAGAUGAAGCUUAAGGAAUAGCUGUUGUCCCGUUUCCAAGGUUGCAGAGUCAGAAGACACCCCUAAGAAGACAUAAAGUACUGUUGUUCAGAAGGAAGGCAUUGGGAAAGUCAAAAGGACACCAGAAAUAGUGAACUCAACAUUGAUUUGCACAUUUGACCAAGGCUGGAGCAGUGGAAAGAGAACUAUGCACAAGGAUGAGGAGAAUAAUUGUGAUUGUGGGACAGGGCCCCAGGAGAGAGGUAUAGCAGACUGGCCUUGGAAAGCCUGCAGCUGCAUCAGGAAGGCAAAGCAUGCUUGGAAAAAAUGCUGACUGAACAGUCCCUGGAAAGUAAUACAGUGGAGGAGGACCCCCAUGAUUACAUUCUGCGAGAGGAGUUCCUAAGCAUUGCAGCAUGAAAAACAGUGCUUAAAAGCUUAAGCAAUAUUUUUCAAAAUAUUGACCUAUCUCAGUAGGAACUGAGAUAGGCAACAAAUCUGACUGACAGAAUACAUUUCAAACUUUCAAAAUUGUGUCUUCCUCUUACUGUGGGUCCUUACCCCUGAACAAAGUUCAUCACACCUGGCUUCACGUUGCAGGGUAUAUUUUUUUGAUGCCUGCCUUAUCUGGCUUCCAGUCAUGCCCUGGAAUUUGAGUGUCUCUCAAAUGUAAAAAUCAAAAAGUAUAUUGUAAAAAUGUCUAUACUAUGCAAAGUAAUAUACAGAUUCAAUGCAAUUUCUAUCAAGAUUCCAAUGACAUUUUUCACAGAAAUAGAAAAAAAUCUAAAAUUUAUAUGAAAACAUCAAAGACAUCAAAUAGCCAAAACAAUCUUGAACAAAAAGAACAAAGCUGGAAGCAUUACACUAUUUGAUUUCAAAAUGUACUGCAAAGCUAUAGCAAUCAAAACAACAUGGUACUGGCACAAAAACAGAAAUAUGGACCAAUGAAAUUGAACAGAGAGCCCAGAAAUAAAUUCACCCAUUUACAGUUAACUGAUCUUCAACAAAAGUGCCAAGAUCAUACAACUGAGAAAGGACAGUCUCUUCAAUAAAUGGUGCUGGAAAAACUUGAUAUCCACAUGCAGAAGAAUGAAAUUGGACCCUUAUUUCAUCCCAUAUACAAAAAUCAACAUAAAAUGGAUUAAAGACUUAAAUGUAAGACCAGAAACUAUAAAACUAUUAGAAGAAAACCUAGAGACAUUGACAUUGGUCUUGGCAAAGAUUUUUUGGAUAUGACCCCAAAAGCACAGGCAGCAAAAGCAAAACUAGACAAAUGGAAUUACAUCAAACCAAAAAAAUAGCUUCACAGCAAAAGAAGCAAUCAACAGAGUGAAGAGAAAACCUAUGCAAUGGGAGAAAAUAUAUGUAAAUCAUACAUGAAAUAAGGAACUAAUAUCCAAAAUAUAUAAGAAAUUCAAACAUCUGAACAGCAAAAAAAAAAAAAAAAAGAAAAUUUAAAAAUGGGCAAAAGAUCUGAACAGACAUUUCUGCAAACAGAAUGUAUGAAAGGCCAACAGGUAUAUGAAGAGAUGCUCAACAUCACUAAUCAUUGGAGAAAUGCAAAUUAAAACCACAAUUAGAUAUCUAUCAUCUCACCUCUCUAAGAUAAGCAUUUGCAAAAAUGUGGAGAAAAGAGGACCCUUGCACGCAGUUGGUGGAAAUGUACAUUAGUAUAGCCUCAUGGAAAAUAGUAUGGAGGUUCCUCAAAAAAUUAAAAAUAGGACUACCAUAUGAUCCAGCAAUCUCACUUCUGAAUAUGUAUCCAAAGGAAAUGAAAUCAGUAUGGUAAAAAGAUAUCUGCAUUCCCAUAUUCAUUGCAACAUUACUUGCAAUAGCCAAGAUAGGGAAUCAACUGAUGAAUGAAUAAAGAAAAUGUGGUAUACAUAAUAUAAUGGAAUACCAUUUUGCCUUAAAAAGGAGGAAAUCGGGUCAUCUGCAACAAGCUAAGUGAAAAAAACCAGGCACAGAAGGACAAAUACUGUAUGAUCUCACUUACAUGUGGAAUUUAAAAAAGUUUAACUCAUAGAAGCAAAGGGUAGAAUAGUGGUUGCCAGGGACUGGGGCUAGGGGUGGGAGCAGGGAAUGGGGAGUUAUGGUCAAAGACUACAAAGUUUCAAAUAGACAGGAGGAAUAAGAUCUGGUGAACUAUAGUACAGCAUGUGACUAUAGUUAAUAAUAUUGUAUUGUACACUUGAAAGUUGCUAAGAGAGUAGAUUUAAAUGUUCUCAUCACCAAAAAUGAUAAAUAUAUGCAGAAGUGACAGAUAUAUUAAUUUGAUUUAAUUGUUCCACUGUGUAUACAUAUAUCAAAACAUCAUGUUAUACACCAUACAUAUAUACAAUUUUUCACCUUGCCAAUUAGAAAUAAAAAUUAUUCAUAUAAAAUAAAAAUAAAAAUAAAAAAUAAAAUUCAAAUUCAUAACCCAAAUUUCCCUAGACCUCUGCUUCCUCUGCAUAUAACAUGUUUGAGUCUCGCCUAAACUCAAAUUGGACCUCCACAGUCUUAGCAAAACUCUUUUAGAAAGUGCAAUAAUAUUUCUUAAUAAUCUGUCCCAGGUUAUCACUUUCCAUAAGAAUAUCCUUUUUUGAGUUCUCCUUGAAACCAUAGUUCAAAACAAAUGUGUUUGUUCUUGCAUUAUUUUUGGUAGAGAGAAGAACUAUGUGAUAAGAUAAACCUUAAGAUAAAUCCAUGUCUAUUGGGGAUAAAAGUUUUCAGUUAUUCUGCUCUUCACAAACUAACCCUAGUUCCUCUAAUCUUAAAGGUUUUAGCUUUCAACUUUUAGUUAUUUGAAUUUUGGGGGAAAGAUCUCACAUCAAUUUCUCCAUGUUAAGAUUUAAAUAACCAAACUGGAAGUUAAGUUUUUUUUUCUUUUUUGACAGAGUCUAGCUCUGUCGCCCAGGCUGGAGUGCAGUGGUGCGAUCUGGGCUCACUGCCAGCUCCGCCUCCCGGGUUCACGCCAUUCUCCUGCCUCAGCCUCCCCAGUAGCUGGGACUACAGGCGCCCACCACCACGUCCGGCUAAUUUUUUGUAUUUUUAGUAGAGACGGGGUUUCACCGUGUUAGCCAGGAUGGUCUCGAUCUCCCGACCUCAUAAUCCGCCUGCCUCGGCCUCCCAAAGUGCUGGGAUUACAAGCGUGAGCCACCGCGCCGUGCCUGGAAAUGAAUUUUUUACACACCAAGUGAAAAUAAGUGGUAUACAUUUUCACAGGAAAUUUUCCCACAAUAAAAUUUCUAGAUGGAAGUUCAAGUCCUUGUGCCUGAGCUCCUUAGAUUAAAAAGCAUAGCAGUUAUUUAACACUCUUUUAAAAAAGAAAGUAUGAAGACAUGGUGAAACUAUUUUGCUUAUCACAUUGACAUUCCUUUGAGAAGAAAGAAAGAAAAUGACAUGUGGUUGGGAAUUCUUCAGUUUAGCCCUAUAGAGAUUUUUAAAAAUGUUUUAACUUUCAAAGGCGCUUUUAUAGAGCUAUAAAAUUGCCUGUCUCCUCUCCAGGCUAUGCUGUACACAAAUGCAAUUCUAAUUUUUAUCGAAUGCUACUUUGAUCAUUCAGCUGCUUGAUCAAAAUCAAUAAUGACUUAUGGUGUUUCAGAUCAUGUCUAUACUUUUCAAGACCCUUAAUAAUCUGCCUCCAUCCUACCUAUCCUACAUUCUAUUUCACAUUUCCCUAUAAUAAUCUUUGUUAUUACCUUACUGCCUUUCUCUGUCCCUGUCAACUGCAACACAUAAGGGUUUGUAUAUAAAACAUGCACACACACACACACACAUACACACACACACACACAUUUCAUGCAUAUUCUGGCCUUGGGACUUUUACUUAUGCGUUUUUCCUUUUCUGAUGUCUACGUAUGUAUAGUUUUUCUCUUAGCAACAUCUAAACUUCUUUAAAAGUCACCACAAAUUCUACUUUCUUCCAAGAAGCUCCCCGAUGACCGUAACCUACAUUAUCCAUCCACUUUUUUUUUUUUUUUUUUGGUAGGGUCUUGCUCUGUUUCCCAGGCUAGAGUGCAGUGGUAUGAUCACAGCUCACUGCAGCCUUGGCCUCCUGGGCUCAAGCAAUCCUCCCACUUCAGCCUCCCAAGUAGCUGGAACCACAGGCUCAUGCCAACAUGCCCAGCUAAUUUUUAUUUAUUUAUUUUUUCAUUUAUUUUGUAGAGAUAAGAUCUUGCUGUGUUGCCCAGGCUGGUCUCAAGACUCCUGGCUCAAAUGAUCCUCCCACUUCGGCCUCCCAAAGUGCUGGGAUUAAAGGCAUGAGCCACCACUCCUAGGCCACUUUCUUAUUCCUGUUACUUAUUUAGGGUGACACUGUCCAAGACUUGCCUAAAUACCAUUUUAUAGUGUUUCUUUUUUAAUGAACAUAUAAACUGUGUUGUGAUCUUUUGUUUGUUUGUUUGUUUGUUUUUAUUAUUAUUAUUAUACUUUAAGUUUUAGGGUACAUGUGCACAAUGUGCAGGUUAGUUACAUAUGUAUACAUGUGCCAUGCUGGUGUGCUGCACCCAUUAACUCGUCAUUUAGCAUUAGGUAUAUCUCCUAAUGCUAACUCUCCCCCCUCCCCCCACCCCACAACAGGCCCCAGAGUGUGAUGUUCCCCUUCCUGUGUCCAUGUGUUCUCAUUGUUCAGUUCCCAUCUAUGAGUGAGAACAUGCGGUGUUUGGUUUUUUGUCCUUGCAAUAGUUUACUGAGAAUGAUGAUUUCCAGUUUCAUUCAUG
rnacentral:lncRNA from 10 species